GACGAACGCUGGCGGCGUGCUUAACACAUGCAAGUCGAGCGGAAAGGCCCUUCGGGGUACUCGAGCGGCGAACGGGUGAGUAACACGUGAGUAACCUGCCCCGAACUUUGGGAUAACCCUCGGAAACGGGGGCUAAUACCGAAUAUGACCUGGACUCGCAUGGGUUUUGGUGGAAAGUUUUUCGGUUUGGGAUGGACGUCGCGGCC
rnacentral:rRNA from 1 species